rnacentral:rRNA from 1 species
CUACCAGGGUUUCUAAUCCUGUUCGCUCCCCACGCUUUCGCUCCUCAGCGUCAGUUACUGCCCAGAGACCCGCCUUCGCCACCGGUGUUCCUCCUGAUAUCUGCGCAUUUCACCGCUACACCAGGAAUUCCAGUCUCCCCUGCAGUACUCUAGUUUGCCCGUAUCGACUGCAGGCCCGAGGUUGAGCCUCGGGUUUUCACAGCCGACGCGACAGACCGCCUACGAGCUCUUUACGCCCAAUAAUUCCGGACAACGCUUGCACCCUACGUAUUACCGCGGCUGCUGGCAC